AGGACGAACGCUGGCGGCGUGCUUAACACAUGCAAGUCGAGCGGAAAGGCCCUUCGGGGUACUCGAGCGGCGAACGGGUGAGUAACACGUGAGCAAUCUGCCCCUAGCUCUGGGAUAGCUCCGGGAAAACCGGGAUUAAUACCAGAUACAACCACUUUAGACAUCUUUUGUGGUGGAAAGGAUUCCGGCUAGGGAUGAGCUCGCGGCCUAUCAGCUUGUUGGUUGGGUAACGGCCCACCAAGGCGACGACGGGUAG
rnacentral:rRNA from 1 species